GAUGAACGCUGGCGGCGUGCCUAAUACAUGCAAGUCGAGCGAACAGACGAGGAGCUUGCUCCUCUGACGUUAGCGGCGGACGGGUGAGUAACACGUGGAUAACCUACCUAUAAGACUGGGAUAACUUCGGGACACCGGAGCUAAUACCGGAUAAUAUAUUGAACCGCAUGGUUCAAUAGUGAAAGACGGUUUUGCUGUCGCUUGUGGAUGGAUCCGCGCCGCAUUAGCUAGUUGGUGGGGUAGCGGCUUACCAAGGCAAUGAUGCGUAGCCGGCCUGAGAGGGUGAGCGGCCACAUUGGGACUGAGAUACGGCCCAGACUCCUACGGGAGGCAGCAGUGGGGAAUAGUGAACAAUGGGCGGAAGACUGAUGAAGCAACGCCGCGUGCGGGAUGACGGCCUUCGGGUUGUAAACCGCUUUCGCCUGUGAAGAAGCGUGAGUGACGGUAAUGGGUAAAGAAGCACCGGCUAACUACGUG
rnacentral:rRNA from 1 species